CCUACGGGGGGCAGCAGUGGGGAAUAUUGGGCAAUGGGCGCAAGCCUGACCCAGCAACGCCGCGUGAAGGAAGAAGGCUUUCGGGUUGUAAACUUCUUUUAAGAGGGAAGAGCAGAAGACGAUACCUCUUGAAUAAGCCACGGCUAACUACGGGCCAGCAGCCGCGGUAAUACGUAGGUGGCAAGCGUUGUCCGGAUUUACUGGGUGUAAAGGGCGUGCAGCCGGGAAGACAAGUCAGAUGUGAAAUCCCGCGGCUCAACCGCGGAACUGCAUUUGAAACUGUUUGUCUUGAGUACAGGAGAGGUCAGCGGAAUGUCUUGUGUAGCGGUGAAAUGCGUAGAGAUAAGGAAGAACACCAGUGGCGAAGGCGGAUGACUGGACGGCAACUGACGGUCAUGCACGAAAGCGUGGGUAUCGAACAGGAUUAGAUACCCCGGUAGUC
rnacentral:rRNA from 1 species